UGGAUUCAUUGCUCCCAAUGGAUUUCCUACGUUAUAUAUGAAGAAGACAACACAUGUUAAACAAUGGUAUUGAAACGGUUGUCGCUAAAAGGAAUAUUUAAAAACUCGUGAAAAACAACAAGUAAAACAUUUUUUUUUUUGGAAUGACAGAAGAGUUUGUAGCUUACCAUAACCCUGGAAGCUGGGUUGCUGCACAGGUACGUAAUAGGGUAAUAGCAAUUGACGUGAGUCUCGAGAAGCUGUUUGAACUGACUCUUCUGCUGGCCUUCCACUUGCCAUCCAUGGUGUCAGCACCAACUAUGUUACAGAAAUUUCAAAAAGUUUUAACUUUAAUAAUAGAAAAUAAAAGUAUCAAAAUUUUACCAUCACUAGAUAGAAGGAAGUGGUGUACAUUCUGAUCAGUUAGGCCCUAAGUGAUAUGUAUAUUCUUGUGGACAAAUGUAGUGAAAACUAAACCGGCACGUCUCUUUUUCUCUUCUGUCGAGUUUACGGAGCACGGAGAAUUCAUUUUAUACUGUAUGCUCCUGUUCAAACGGUUUUUCACAAAACAAGUUUGGAACCGAAAUGUUUCUCGGGGCAAACUAAUGUUAUGAAUAACAAAGUCUUUGACCUCGCCAUUCAAAUCUAGCAUUGCGAGUAAAACGUGUUGUGAUAUUGGCACCCCAAUUAUAAUUAUCCCCCAGUAAUCGCUAAAACUUUAAGAUUCCUACUUGUUUGUGGGUGAAUUCCGGAGGGCCAAUUCAAUUUGGAAAAAUUUAUUUUUGUAGCCAUCCACCGCAUGUUAUUUAGCUUUAAAAAAAGUGGCUCUAAGCAGGAAAUUGAUUCCCUUUUAUGGAAAUUGAUUCCCUUCUAGAUCUAUUACCGGUUUUAUCCAGUUUAAUUUUUUGUUUGUUUUAUUUUAUGAUCUUCCUGUUGAACAUUCAGAAGAAUUAUUCCCCAGACUACUUUCCAGCUCAUUUUUGCCUCCGGCCUUGCAAUUUAAUCAGUGUCAUCUAUUCUGUUUUAACCUUGAAGGGCGUGAAUUAACGCCCUUACGAUUUGGAGUUGGCAACUUCAUAGAUAUUACAUUUGCAAUUGAAGAA